UCUUUCGCCGCAUUUAUUUCU
rnacentral:piRNA from 1 species